AUCAGUUUACCGAUAAGACAAAUA
rnacentral:miRNA from 1 species